rnacentral:lncRNA from 13 species
GAGCAGAAGUCGUAAACACAGUGUUCUUCAUUUCUACCCGUUGGACUUGUGGGUUGGCUUAAUGCUAGCUUUCUCCCUAAUAAAAGGCAAGGGAAAUAUCAGCUAGAAAUUUCAUAAUUGGGGUGUUUGCCUCAUUUCCUAUUUUUAAGUGGCACAGACUUCGGAACUAAGGCUGUGUAUGAGUCUGGCAAACGCUGCUGGUGGAUGUGGGCUGAAGCUCCUGUCUGCAAAGCCAGCCAACAUCCCUUGAUGCCCCAGGCAUAGAUUCAACGUCAAUUUGUGAUAAAAAAAAAUAGAGGGAAUGGGUGCUGCCUUCUCCUUGCAACUGGGGUGGAUGCUCUAAGAGGUAGGUUCUUAACUCAAACACCUCAAGAGCAGGAAUAACUGACAAAGAGGAAAUGAGCCUC